GUGACCUGCGGAGGAUCAAUUA
rnacentral:rRNA from 1 species